rnacentral:tRNA from 1 species
GCUUUCGUGGUGUAGCUGCCAGCACACUCGACGCGUAUUCGAGAGGUCCGUGGUUCGAAUCCCGGUGAGAGCA